GACCCUAGGUCAGGCUGGGCCACCCGCCGAGCUUAAGCAUAUUAAUAAGUGGAGGUGAAGAAACUUAUGAGGAUUCCCCUAGUAACGGUGAACAAACCGAGACCAGCCCAGCU
rnacentral:rRNA from 1 species